AGAACGAACGCUGGCGGCAGGCUUAACACAUGCAAGUCGAACGCGUGUAGCAAUACACGAGUGGCGCACGGGUGAGUAACGCGUGGAUAUCUGCCUUUGGUUCGGAAUAACCCCGGGAAACUGGGGCUAAUACCGGAUGGUUCCUACGGGAUAAAGAUUUAUCGCCAAAAGAUGAGUCCGCGUCCGAUUAGCUAGUUGGUGGGGUAAUGGCCUACCAAGGCGACGAUCGGUAGCU
rnacentral:rRNA from 1 species